rnacentral:rRNA from 1 species
AUUGAACGCUGGCGGCAUGCCUUACACAUGCAAGUCGAACGGCAGCACGGGAGCAAUCCUGGUGGCGAGUGGCGAACGGGUGAGUAAUAUAUCGGAACGUGCCCAGUCGUGGGGGAUAACGCAGCGAAAGCUGUGCUAAUACCGCAUACGAUCUACGGAUGAAAGCGGGGGAUCGCAAGACCUCGCGCGAUUGGAGCGGCCGAUAUCAGAUUAGCUAGUUGGUGGGGUAAAGGCCCACCAAGGCGACGAUCUGUAGCUGGUCUGAGAGGACGACAGCCACACUGGAACUGAGACACGGUCCAGACUCCUACGGGAGGCAGCAGUGGGGAAUUUUGGACAAUGGGCGCAAGCCUGAUCCAGCAAUGUCGCGUGCAGGAUGAAGGCCUUCGGGUUGUAAACUGCUUUUGUACGGAACGAAACGGCCCUUUCUAAUACAGGGGGCUAAUGACGGUACCGUAAGAAUAAGCACCGGCUAACUACGUGCCAGCAGCCGCCGUAAAAC